rnacentral:rRNA from 1 species
AUGGUAGAAUUGAACGAUGCCUGCAUUGCCCAUCUCAAGUUCAUCCUCUUAUGCUUUGAGGCCGUCUCAGGCCUGAAAAUUAACUUCUCCAAGAGUGAGGUCCUGGUCACUGGUGUUGAUGAUGCGGAGGCCUUGAGAGUGGCUAGGCUGCUUAACUGUUCCCUGGGCUCCUUCCCUUUUAAAUAUCUGGGACUCCCCAUCUCUCCUGUUCCGUUACAUUCAAAGGAUUUUGCUCCGGCUGUUUCUAAGGUGGGAAACAGAGUUCUUCCCUGGAGAGGUAGAUAUAAUACUAAUGCUGGCAAAGUUGCUCUGAUUAACGCCUGCCUCUCCUCCCUUCCUAUGUUUCUAAUGGGCUUCUAUCUUUUAUCGGCUGGCAUUCAUGCCAGUUUUGACAAGCACAGGGGGGCUUUCUAUUGGAAUGCUGCUGACAACAAACGGAAAUAUAGGCUGGUUAAAUGGAAGCUCAUGUGUAGGCCUAAAAACCUUGGGGGGGUAGGCAUUAUUAACACGUUGGUUAUGAACAAAUGUCUUUUAAUCAAAUUGUGGUGGAAAAUCAUGACCAGUGGGGCCGGCUCUUUAUGGUAUUCGAUUCUUAAAGCUAAAUAUUUUCCAUACUCUAGCCCGAUGUUUGCUAGGGCCCGGCGUGGAUCUCAAUUCUGGAAGGACCUUAUUAAAGUUCGACCUUUAUUCCUGGAACAUGUUAAGUUUACUGUUGGUAACGGCUCCUCGGUUCGUUUUUGGCGUGACUGGUGGUGUGGUGACUCUCCUCUGGCUGUUAGCUUCCCGGUUCUUUUUUCGUAUUGCCCUAACCCGAAUAUCUCCAUCGUGGAGGUGGCGGCUAAUAAUUGGGACCUGGCUUUUCAUCGUUCCCUAUCUCCUGAAGAGUUGUAA